rnacentral:rRNA from 1 species
UACGUAGGGUGCAAGCGUUAAUCGGAAUCACUGGGCUUAAAGCGUGUGUAGGCGGGCGGGCAAGUACCUUGUGAAAUCCCCCGGCUCAACCGGGGAAUGGCUGGAUAUACUGGCGGUCUUGAGCAGUCUAGGGGCAGAUGGAACAAGUGGUGGAGCGGUGAAAUGCGUAGAUAUCACUUGGAACGCCAAAGGUGAAAACAGUCUGCUGGGGGACUUGCUGACGCUGAGACACGAAAGCCAGGGAGCGAACGGG